rnacentral:lncRNA from 1 species
GGGGAAGGGAGGAAAAAAAAAAUCACUGUUCUUUGUAGCUCUAACCAUGAAAGUAAAAGCAACAAAAAUAUCCCCCAGUGAAUCCCUAGAAUCAUUUAAUAAUGUAACCGGUUUCUCUUUAUCCUGCAGGUGUACACUUAAAGCGUUCUGGGAAUAUGAAUCCCUUCUGCACCCUGGAAUCACCAGUCCAGCCAUGCAUGGAGCUGGGGAAAGCAGGCCCUGAAUUGUCUAGAGAGACUUGGUGGAGGAGGCCACGGCCCGCCUUGUCCCUGCCGGGUCCCAGCCAGAGCAGUGAGGCCUGAGACCCUCAACAGUGC